CCGAAUUGUCAACACGAGUUGUUGCUGGCCCUCAAGUGGGGGCAUGUGCACGCUCUGUUUGCACAUCCACUCACACCUGUGCACCCUCCGUAGUUCUGUGGCCUGGGGUGCUCUGCCCUCCUGCUGUGGUUCUAUGUCUUUACACAAACACACACGCUGUAAUAAAGUCUUAUCGAAUGGUACAAAGCGUUUGACGCAAUACAAUAAUA
rnacentral:misc_RNA from 1 species